CCUACGGGUGGCUGCAGUGGGGAAUAUUGCUCAAUGGGCGCAAGCCUGAUGCAGCCAUGCCGCGUGUGUGAAGAAGGCCUUCGGGUUGUAAAGCACUUUCAGCGGGGAGGAAGGCGUUAAGGUUAAUAACCUUGUCGAUUGACGUUACCCGCAGAAGAAGCACCGGCUAACUCCGUGCCAGCAGCCGCGGUAAUACGGAGGGUGCAAGCGUUAAUCGGAAUUACUGGGCGUAAAGCGCACGCAGGCGGUCUGUCAAGUCGGAUGUGAAAUCCCCGGGCUCAACCUGGGAACUGCAUUCGAAACUGGCAGGCUAGAGUCUUGUAGUGGGGGGUAGAAUUCCAGGUGUAGCGGUGAAAUGCGUAGAGAUCUGGAGGAAUACCGGUGGCGAAGGCGGCCCCCUGGACAAAGACUGACGCUCAGGUGCGAAAGCGUGGGGAGCAAACAGGAUUAGAUACCCGUGUAGUC
rnacentral:rRNA from 1 species